GAUCAGUGGCGAACGGGUGAGUAACACGUGAGCCACCUGCCCUGGACUCUGGGAUAAGCGCUGGAAACGGCGUCUAAUACUGGAUAUGAGACGUGAUCGCAUGGUCGUGUUUGGAAAGAUUUUUCGGUCUGGGAUGGGCUCGCGGCCUAUCAGCUUGUUGGUGAGGUAAUGGCUCACCAAGGCGUCGACGGGUAGCCGGCCUGAGAGGGUGACCGGCCACACUGGGACUGAGACACGGCCCAGACUCCUACGGGAGGCAGCAGUGGGGAAUAUUGCACAAUGGGCGAAAGCCUGAUGCAGCAACGCCGCGUGAGGGAUGACGGCCUUCGGGUUGUAAACCUCUUUUAGCAGGGAAGAAGCGAAAGUGACGGUACCUGCAGAAAAAGCGCCGGCUAACUACGUGCCAGCAGCCGCGGUAAUACGUAGGGCGCAAGCGUUAUCCGGAAUUAUUGGGCGUAAAGAGCUCGUAGGCGGUUUGUCGCGUCUGCUGUGAAAUCCCGAGGCUCAACCUCGGGCCUGCAGUGGGUACGGGCAGACUAGAGUGCGGUAGGGGAGAUUGGAAUUCCUGGUGUAGCGGUGGAAUGCGCAGAUAUCAGGAGGAACACCGAUGGCGAAGGCAGAUCUCUGGGCCGUAACUGACGCUGAGGAGCGAAAGGGUGGGGAGCAAACAGGCUUAGAUACCCUGGUAGUCCACCCCGUAAACGUUGGGAACUAGUUGUGGGGACCAUUCCACGGUUUCCGUGACGCAGCUAACGCAUUAAGUUCCCCGCCUGGGGAGUACGGCCGCAAGGCUAAAACUCAAAGGAAUUGACGG
rnacentral:rRNA from 1 species